GCUCUCGGAUCAGGUCCUGCUCCACACUGGUGUCCAUGAGGUUUCCCCUCAUCUCAGUGGUGCCUGGCAGGUAGCCCCGGACUGAAGAGAGGGAAAAACACUCACUGGACGGAGGACCACCCCAGGAAUAAAUCAAAUAAAUCACUGACUGAUCAGAAGCAAAGGCAUCUAAAGAACAAUCAUAGAUGCUCAUUCAAAAUGAUGAUUUAAGCCCAGGGAAGUUUUGUCCUGCAGGAGAGGACAGACCUCCAACUCAACAAACAACCUACUAAAGACAAAGUUAACAGGCCAGUGGUAUUUUUUUUAGUAUUUUUACUCCUACAUUCACAAGUUGCAUCUGUUUAUUUGCCUUUUCAAGACCAUUUGUGUUAAGUGUAGAUAAUCAGUUUUUCCACUUAUAUUAUGAUUUCAUAAUUUUCUUAUCUUUUUUUAUGCUUUGGAACAGAUUAUAUAACAAAAAAAUCCUUAAAAUUUUGAAAGAAUUAAACUAUGAAACUCUAGGUCCAAAGUGUAAUUAGAAGUAACUUUUAAUAAUUUCUCAAGUCUAAGUAGUUUUGUAAUUCUUGAAUCAAUCAUAAUUUAUAUUCUCCCAGAAUAUAGUACUUUCCUAUGGUUUUAAUGUUUGUGUCUCCCCAAAAUUUGCCUGCCCUCACGCCUGGGAUCAGUACUCUCAUUCUCAUGAGAGUCCUUGAAAGAUCUCCAUCCCGUCCACCACAGUAAGAAGAAAACCACCGUGAGGAAGCAGCCCUCCCAGACCAGAGAUCUGCCACUCCCUGACCUUGGACUCCCAACCUCCAGAGCUCUGUGAAAUAGACUUCUGCUUUUUAGGAGCCACCCAGUCUGUAGUAUUUUGUUAAAACAGCCACAUAAAUUAAGACAUCCAUUUUGUAGACUUUUACUUCUUAAUAAACAAUGACACAACCUUCACUUAUGAUUCUGAAUACCCACACCAAGGACAAGCCCAAAAAGAAGAGCAGGAACAGCCUAAUAACUUUUUAGAACCUGUUCAUUAUGUAACACCACAGAAAGACUGGAGGUGCUGGCCCAAAGUAAAGAGAAAGAAAGACAAAAGGCGGAACUAGCUGAUCCCCUCCAGGCAGCCCAACACUGACAGAGAAGAAAGCAAGGGCACAGUAUCCAUGGAGACCUGGCAGCUCCUGAGACAGUUUCUGACAAUCUGGACUUGCCAAAAGACUAAGAAAUUCUGAUCUGAGUUUAAAAAGGAAAGAAAGAAAAAGGGGUUUUACUUUGAAGUGAUAGCUGGGAAAACAAUAUGCUAACCUGAUUCUUCUCAUUAAUUCUAAGUUUUCCGUCAGUGUUAAAGAUUUAUUAGGAAAGAGCUAUUCAGACAGUUCAUUAUUACUAUGUGAUUAACCCCACCCCCCCAACUGGCCUAUACCUACAGGCAACCUGAUUGAUGGCUUUUCCUUCUUUCAAAGAAGAGAUUUAGAAAGAACCCCCCAGGAGAUUUUUCUCAAGCAGGGCUUACAAGGCUAAAAGGAUAGUCACUAUGUAGCAGGAAGAAAAGUGUGGAAAGAUUGGGAGGUUAAAUCUGAAAACCCAGCCAAGGAAGUCAGGGUUGUUUCCGUGUUACAAUUCUAGGUCUGCAGCCCUUAUCACAACAUUAUUACUUAGAACUACACACAAACCGCUAAUUUACACUCACCUU